rnacentral:rRNA from 1 species
UGUCACGUCGGGAGUGAAAACUCAGGGCUUAACCCUGAGCCUGCUGCCGAUGCGGGCAGACUAGAGGUACGCAGGGGAGAACGGAAUUCCUGGUGUAGCGGUGAAAUGCGCAGAUAUCAGGAGGAACACCGGUGGCGAAGGCGGUUCUCUGGGCAUUACCUGACGCUGAGGAGCGAAAGUGUGGGGAGCGAACAG